rfam:Rhizopus microsporus genome assembly, contig: SCAF14
GACGCUGUAGCGUAAUGGAUAACGCAUUAGACUUCGAAUCUAAAGAUUGUGGGUUCGAGUCCCAUCAGCGUCG